GGUCGAUUAGCUCAGUUGGUUAGAGCGUGGUGCUAAUAUAAUGAACAUGAUACGCCAAGGCCGUGGGUUCGACCCCCAUAUUGACCA